AGACUCAGAGAAGAUUCUCAACUCCAGCACCCGGCAUUUCAGGAAGAAAUAAGAAACAGAACAAUCUACUGAGAAUAUCACUUUACCUGAACGGAGUCUCACUCUGUCACCCAGGCUGGAGUGCCGUGGCCCGAUCUCAGCUCACUGCAAGCUCCGCCUCCCGGGUUCACACCAUUCUCCUGCCUCAGCCUCCUGAGUAGCUGGGACUACAGGUGCCCGCCAACACGCCCAGUCUCACUCUUGUCACCCAGGCUGGAGUGCGGUGGCAUGAUCUCAGCUCACUACAACCUCCAUCUCGGCUCACUGCAACCUCCACCUCCUGGGUUCAAGUGACUCUCCUGCCUCAGCCUCCGGAGUAACUGGGAAUACAGGGAGGGGACUGGAAUAAAAUACCCACCUCCUCAAGAGCACAGUUUCCAAUGGGAGGAAUUUGGGACGGAAGAACACUGGGUGCCCUGAGAUAGGUCCCGGCCACCUCCCCCAACACAGGAUCCGGAGAAGCCGUGACUGCGAAAAGGCCUGGGGACAGAAGGGAACGGCCCAAGGAGGACUACGGCGGCAGGCAGAUCAGGGGUGGGGUCUGCAGAAUCCCCAGACCAGGCAGAGGACGCGGCCCCUCCCGAAUGGCGGCUGCGGCGCUGCGCCCCAGGGGCCGACAAGGACGAGGCUUGGGACCCGGAGGGCGUGGAUCCGCCUCGCAGGCGGGGACUUUACGUGGCGCGGGGCUGGCGGAGGGGUCACUGAAGGGUUUUAAGCAGGAAAACGGCGCGAAAGCAGCUGCCUACGCAGCCCUACGGCAGAACGACCGGAGACAGAACCAGCCCUAGGGCGAUUUUAACACUCUGACGGGACGCAUGAAUUUACUCGGGGUGGAGAGAGCGGUGCGGGGAUUUCAAGGUCUGUACCGCCCCCCACAUCCCGGGUACAGAAGCGUGAGGGCACCGCUAAGCGAACACUUAAUCUAAACAAAGGAAAACUCACGCGCCGCAGUUGCGCCAUAUCUCCACGCCAUCCACUUCCGGGUCUGCAGGCGGCUGCGCGCGAACGGAGAGGCCGGGCCGGGGCGUGGCCAGCGACGUGGCGGGCGGGGCCUGAAUACUUAUUGGACGGGGCCUGCACUUCCCUCCUCCUAUCUCUGGGCGUGUCUCGGUUUUCCGCGUUUUGCAAGCCACACUUGCCAGUCAGGCUGGAGCCGCUCCACGGUUUGUGACCUGGGAUCUCACUAGGAGGGUCAACGUCUGUUGUUUGGAUCCAGGAAAGUUCCCACAAUUAAAAUUAAGGAAUUCAAUUAAAAUUUAGAAAUUUAAUUGAAAAUCCCUUAAAUUGUCUGUGAAAGGAAUGCAAACUAAAAUACAAUAUGCAAACUCAA